rnacentral:rRNA from 1 species
CGUCAAAUCAUCAUGCCCUUUAUGGUCUGGGCUACACACGUGCUACAAUGGGUGGUACAGAGAGCGGCGAGGCCGUGAGGCGGAGCGAAUCUCAAAAAGCCACUCCCAGUUCGGAUUGCAGCCUGCAACUCGGCUGCAUGAAGUCGGAAUCGCUAGUAAUCGCGGAUCAGCAUGCCGCGGUGAAUGCGUUCCCGGGCCUU